rnacentral:rRNA from 1 species
CAAAGGCUUGGUCCUGACUUUAUUAUCAGCUUUAGCCGAACUUACACAUGCAAGUAUCCGCACCCCUGUGAGAAUGCCCUCAGUUCCCUGCCUGGGAACAAGGAGCUGGUAUCAGGCACAAUUUAAGCCCAUGACACCUUGUUUAGCCACACCCUUAAGGGAACUCAGCAGUGAUAGAUAUUAAGCCAUAAGUGAAAACUUGACUUAGUAAAAGCUAAGAGGGCCGGUAAAACUCGUGCCAGCCACCGCGGUUAUACGAGAGGCCCAAGUUGAUUACUUACGGCGUAAAGAGUGGUUAGGGAGGAAUCAGUACUAAAGCCGAAUGUUUUCAAGGCUGUUGUACGCACCCGAAAACGAGAAGUUCAACCACGAAAGUGGCUUUAUUUAAACCCUGAACCCACGAAAGCUAGGGAACA